rnacentral:lncRNA from 1 species
GGACUGUUUGUUUAAGAUGCCAUGCAGCCUACAGUCCUCAAAUAUACAUUUUAGAGAAAUGAUCCUUUGCAUAUUUUGGGGGAUCUUCAUUAGCCAAAGAGGGCUGUGGCCCAUCUUCUCAGAUCAGCUAAUGAUUAAAUGCUUGGAAUUUCUCAAAGUUUCUUCAGCUGUUAUGAAGCAAUAGCAAAUUCUCCUUCUACAUAAAACCUAAGACAUCCACAGCUCUAGGACUGCACUUAAUCUGAUGAACACCAUUCACUGAUUUUUUAAAUGUUCCUCAAUUCCUACCUCUCUUUUUAAGAGUCCAGAUCUCUUCUGAUUGAUCCAUUUUUGCCUGAGAUGUGGUUGAUGUUAAGCUGCUCACUUUUCUGCUUGCUUGGGCUAGGAGAAAGAUCAGCUGCUUCUUUGCAUGGCUGGAGUAAGGCAGAUCUGCUGAGAGCUAAAUAAUCCAUGCGUCUGGUCCUUUGACUAUUGCUGAAAAACUUCUGGAAAAUGAAUAGAAAGGAGAGGACUUAAGGAUAUUUUUUCUUUCUCCCUGAACCUGUAGAUUUGUGCCUUGCAUUGGCUGCUGAAGACCAAUUAGAGUUACAUCCACACCCUUAUUCAGAUGGAAGAAAGGCCGACCAUGUUUACUAUUAAAGGGGCAGGACUUCUAAGCAGCUGCAGACAAAGGAUAUUGCUUGCUCCAACUUGAGCUCUCCAUCUCAGCCCUCGGCCCUGUGCUGAAUGCAGUUUGUUGCUCGCUGUCCAACACGUUUGCUGCAACCUGAGGCUCUGCAUUUUGACAAGACUCCUAUGAGCCCUUCUGACCUUCCCAGCGUCAUUGCAGGUGCUCAGACAAUGGCUGUUCUGCACAAAAGAGAGCUGAGAGAUGUAGGAAUGAAGAGAAAUUGGAAAAGCACAAUUUUAGCCUGGGAGGAGAGGAAUAAAGAAAUUGAGACUUAUCUUCAUGUUGACAGGAUCGCUCAUCAAACAUGGACCUUGUUUGCACAGAAAUAGGCAGCAGUCAUCAGCCCUGGAUCUCCAUACACUUCACAAAACUAGGCAGAUGCUGUUCUCUCUGUGCUGCUGUUUGCUGUACGAGUAGUCAGAGUUUGUUCGUAUAAACCCACAUAUGAUUAAUGAGAAAUUUAUGAGGAAAAGCAUGGGAAGAAGUGUCAACAUGAGGGAAUUCAGCGGCUCAGAAAGUAUUGGGUUUUUUUCCCAAUUAUAUCAGUUGAUCAAAUGAAGUAUAUUACCUCUAAAUAAAAUGUAGCUAUCUUGCCUAUCUUGGAGAAAU